AGGGUGUAAACGCUGCAGACUUGGUGUUGGAGGCCCUUUGGGGGCAUUCAGUGCCGGAGAGAAGUUGUUAAGUCUGCUACUUGGGGAGUACGUCCGCAAGGAUGAAACUUAAAGGAAUUGGCGGGGGAGCACCGCAACGGGAGGAGCGUGCGGUUUAAUUGGAUUCAACACCGUAAACUCACCAGGAAGACUGUUACAUGAAGGCCGAGAUGAAGACUCUGCUAGAUUUUCAGAGAGGAGGUGCAUGGCGUCAGUGACU
rnacentral:rRNA from 1 species